rnacentral:tRNA from 1 species
GCAGUGUGUUUCAGUGGUAGAACUCUUGCUUUCCAUGUAGGAGACCCAGGUUCUAUUCCUGGCCAAUGCA